AAGCUUCCUGUUUUCUUGAUUGUUGUUUCAAGAGCUUUCUGAUCUUUAGCUUUUCCUUUUGGAUCUUUCAUUUCUCAAGGGAGCAAUGUUUUGGACAGUACUGAAACAGAAAUAGGACACCCAGUUGGUCACCCAGCACCUGAAUAAAUAAAUAGUCCUUGACCCUGGAUGUAACUGGCUGCUGAAUUUAUGAAGAGAAGUACUCCUUGUGGCGGCACAGACUUUGGAAGUCUUCGAGCUAUUGCUAUAAGUUCACAACACAGAUCUUCAGCAUCAAUAUUUUUGUUUCCAUUAUACAUCAAUGAUUUUUCCAGAUUCUUGCAGGCCUUAAGUACAUCUUCAGUAGAUUUUUUAUUUAUAAUUAAUAAAAGUUUAACAGUA